rnacentral:rRNA from 1 species
ACGGAAGGCAGCAGCUAAGAAUAUUCCUCAAUGGACGAAAGUCUGACGGAGCGACGCAGCGUGGAUGAAGAAGGCCGGAAGGUUGUAAAAUCCUUUUCAACAGGAAGAAUAAGUACUGAAGGGAAUGUCAGUAUGGUGACGGUACUGUUUGAAUAAGCAACGGCUAAUUACGUGCCAGCAGCCGCGGUAACACGUAAGUUGCGUGCGUUGUUCGGAAUUAUUGGGCGUAAAGGGUAUGUAGGCGGUUCUGAAAGCGUGGUGUGAAAGGCAGAGGCUUAACCUCUGGACUGCAUUGAGAACUGCAGGACUAGAAUUACUGAAGGGCAGCUAGAAUUCCAUGUGUAGGGGUGAAAUCUGUAGAUAUGUGGAAGAAUACCAAUGGCGAAGGCAGGCUGCUGGCAGAUGAUUGACGCUGAGGUACGAAAGUGCGGGGAGCAAACAGGAUUAGAUACCCUGGUA